ensembl:miRNA
CUGGAGUCAGCAGAUGUCUUCGCCUUGCUUCAGUUUACACAGCGAUGUCACCUUACUCCAGCC